CCACUAAGCCAUCAGGGAACUCCUAGAGGCCCAUUCUUAUUUAUUAAUAUUAGACUGUCUCUCUGGAAUUCCUUUUUGUAUAUAUUUAUUUUCUAAAAGUAUACAAUGACCAUACCUUAUUUUUAUAAUUACACAGCAAGAGUAUUAAAAGAAAUGCUGGAGUUCCCGUCGUGGCGCAGUGGUUAACGAAUCCGACUAGGAACCAUGAGGUUGCGGGUUCGGUCCCUGCCCUUGCUCAGUGGGUUAACGAUCCGGCGUUGCCGUGAGCUGUGGUGUAGGUUGCAGACGCGGCUUGGAUCCCGCGUUGCUGUGGCUCUGGCGUAGGCCGGUGGCUACAGCUCCAAUUGGACCCCUAGCCUGGGAACCUCCAUAUGCCGCGGGAGCGGCCCAAGAAAUGGCAACAACAACAACAACAACAAUAAUGCCGAGGGAGCGGCCCAAGAAAUAGCAACAACAACAAAAAAAAAAGACAAAAAAAAAAUAAAAGAAAUGCUAGUGAAUGAAUAGUGUGCUAGCUAUCUCUAGAAACAUCCUGCAUUGCUUAUCUUGGGGGUCUAUUAGGUCUGCCUGCUCACCAGGUUCAGUCAAUACAUACACAUCUAAGGGAGAUAAGUUUUCUUGAACCAAUAAAGAACACUCAAAAGAAAAAAUAAAACUUAAAAUCUGAGGAGUUUCCAUUGUGGUGCAGUGGGUUAAAAAUCCAACUAGUGUCCAUGAGGAUUCAGGUUCAAUCCCUGGCCUUGCUCGGUGGGUUAAGGAUCCGGUGUUGCCAAAAGUUUCCCUGAAGGUUGCAGAUGCUGCUCAGAUUUGGUAUUGCUGUGGCUGUGGUGUAGGCCAGUGACUGCGGCUCCAAUUCAACCCCUAGCCCGGGAAAUUACAUAAGCCAAGGGUGUGGCCCUAAAAAGAAAAAAAAAAAAAGCUCGAAUUUGAGAUUUGGGAUUAUAAUCAGCACCUCAAGGAAAACCUAAAUUCAAAUAGAGAAAUUCAUAGUGGCAUUGGUGGUACAGCGGUGAGCAUAGCUGUUUUCCAAAUAGAGAAAUUCACUUCUAUUCAGAUUAAAAAAAAUGUUCUCCUAGUUACACAAAGGCGAAAACUUGGUGGAGGGUACACAGGACCUCCAUGCACUUUGGUUAUUCAACUUCCUGUGAACCUGUAAUUAUUUUAGAAUUAAAAAUAAAGGAAGGAAGGAGGAAAGGAGGAAGAAGUGUUUCAAAAACUAGAGGUCAGAGUUCCCGCUGUAGCUCAGUGGGUUAAGAACCCAACUAGUAUCCAAAAAACUAUAGGUCACAGAUGUUCUGACUGACGUUCCCUAUUCAGAUUUGUACAGCCUCGAUCAUGAUCCAGACACAUGAAAAGUUUGAGCAAGAAUUAGUUCUGUCCCCUUCCUGCCUGGGGGACAGUGAACACUGUUUGCCACACGGUCAACUACAAAAUCUACUUCAGCCAGGUGCUAAAAUGACAGCAAAUCUCAAUCUAUCUCGAUUCCACUAUCACCACCACCACCACCAUCAUCCAUAAACCUAAGGAUAUAUUUCAAAACUUAGUAUAUUUCUAGAAACAUACAGCCCACCAAAUCUGAAUCAAAAAGAAAUAGAUAACUUGAAUAGACCAAUCACCAGAAGUGAAACAGAAUCUGUAAUUAAAAAAAACAAAACAAAACAAAAAAACGGAGUUCCCAUCGUGGCGCAGUGGAAAUGAAUCUGACUAGGAACCAUGAGGUUGCAGGUUUGAUCCCUGGUCUCACUCAGUGGGUUAAGGAUCUGGCAAUGCCGUGAACUAUGGUGUAGGUCGAAGACACAGCUCAGAUCCCACGUUGCUAUGGCUGUGGUGUAGGCCAGCGGCUAUAGCGCCGAUUCAACCCCUAGCCUGGGAACCUCCAUAUGCCACAGGUUUGGCCCUAAAAAGAAAAAAAAAUUUUUUUUUUAAUUUUUAAAAACUCCCUACAAACAAAAGUCCAAGGCCAGAUGGCUUCACAGGUGAAUUCUGCCUCUAACAAACACACAAAGAAGAACUUAUACUGAUCCUUCUCAAACUCUUCCAAAAGCUUGAAGAGGAAGAAACUCCCAGAGACAUGCUAUGAAGCCACCAUCACCCUCAUACCAAAAAUAGACAAAGACACUACCAAAAAAGAAAAUUACAGGCCAAUAUCUUUGAUGAACACAGAUGCAAAAAUUAUCAACAAAAUAUUAACAAACUGAAUCAAACAACAUAUGAAAAAGAUCAUGUACAGGAGUUCCCACUGUGGCUCAAUGGGACUGGCAGUGUCUUGGAGCACUGAGAUGCAGGUUUAGUCCUCAGCCCAACAAAGUGGGUUAAGGAUCUGGCGUUGCCGCAGUUGCAGCUUAGGUCGCAACAGCAGCUAGGAUCUGAUCCCUGGCCCGGGAACUCCAUUGCUGCCAGGCAGCCCCCCAAAAAAGCUCAUAUACCACAACCAAGUUGGAUCCAUCCCAAGGUCACAAAGAUGGUUCGUUCAACAUACACAAAUUAAUCAAUGUGAUACACCACAUCAACAAAAGACAAGACAACCACAUGAUCACCUCAACAGAUGAAGGAAAAGCAUUCAAUAAAAUUCAACAUCCAUUCAUGACAAAAACUCUUACCAAAAUGUGUACAGAGGAAACAUAUCUCAACAUAAUAAAAGCUAUUUACAAUAAACCCACAGCCAAUAUAAUACUCAGUGCUGAAAAGCUGAAAGGAAAGGCUUCCCACUAAAAUCUGGAACAAGACAAGGAUGCCAAUUCUCACCACUUCACUUCAAUAUAGUACUGAAAGUCCUAGCCACAGCAAUCAGACAAGAAAAAAAAAAAAAAAAAAAAGCUAUUCAAAUUGGUAAGGAAGAGGUAAAACUGUCAUUAUAUUAUAUGUAGAUGAUAUGACACCAUACUUAGAAAAUCCUGAAGACUCCACUCAAAAACUACUAGAACUGAUAAAUGAUUUCAGCAGGAUACAAGAUUAACAUAGAGAAAUAAGUUGCAUUUCUUUACACUAACAAUGAAAUAUCAGGAGUUCCUGUUGUGGCUCAGUAGAAAUGAAUCUGACUAGUAAACAUGAAGAUGCAGGUUCAAUCCCUGGCCUCACUCAGUGAGUUAAGAAUUUGGCACUGCCUCGAGCUUUGGUGUAGGUCACAGACUCAGCUUGGCUCCUGAGUUGCUGUGGUUGUGGCUGUGGCCGCCAGCCGCAGCUCCAAUUAGACCCCUACCCUGGGAACUUCCAUAUGUCGUAGGUGCAGAAAGAGGAGUUCCCGUCAUGGCUCAGUGGUUAACGAAUCCGACUAGGAACCAUGAGGUUGCGGGUUCGAUCCCUGGCCUUGCUCAGUGGGUUAAGGAUCUGGCGUUGCCCUGAGCUGUGGUGUGGGUCACAGACAUGGCUCGGAUCCUGCGUUGCUGUGGCUCUGGCGUAGGCCGGUGGCUACAGCUCCAAUUCGACCCCUAGCCUGGGAACCUCCAUAUGCUGUGUAGCUGUAAAAAGGAAAAAAAAAAAAAGUAGACUUGUGCGGCUCAGGGGCAGUGAGGCAGUAACUUGGGGGAAGAACGAUUCAAGAUAAGUUCAGGGAGGUAGGCAGGAGUCAGAUCCUGGAAGUGUGUUCUGGGCCAGAAUAAGGGAACUUGGAUUUUAAUCUUACUGCAGUGGGAAACUUAGAAAGUUGUCAAACAGGAGGUGGUAUGAACUUAUUUUUCAUUUUGAUUACUUUGAAUACUUUCACCACUACUUUGGUGCCUUACGAGAAAAUAUACAGUAGAGAGGCAUGCGAAGACACAGAACAACUGAGAAUGUUAUUAUAGUAGCACAGACAGGAGAUGACAGCAGCUUGUUCUAGAAAAGUGGCAAUGGAAAUGAAAAGAAGGAGACUGCUUCAGGGCAUAUUUUGAAGGCAGAGCUGACAGGACUUACUGAUGAAGCGAGGACACAAAAAGAGAGCUCCUAAAUAUGUGGUUUGACUAACAUAAGUGGUUUGCGGUGCCAUUAGUGACCAGAGCAGACUGGGGGGAAAAAAAAGAUUUAGGAAGAAGUCAAAAGUUUCAUUUUGACCAUGUUGACUGUAAGAUGUCAGUAAGAAAACCAAGUGGAGAUUCCAGGAAAGCAGGUGAAAAUGCAGUUCUGGAACUCAGGAGGCAGUGUGGAGACAAUGAUUUGAGUUAUCAAUACAUAGAUGGCGUUUAAAACCAUUGGACGCUAAAUAACAUGACCUAAGUAAGCAUUCUAGUUAUAGAAGAGGAC
rnacentral:lncRNA from 1 species